rnacentral:rRNA from 1 species
ACCUAUGGCCAUGCCAUCCUGAACAUGCCUGAUGUGGUCUGAUCUCGGAAGCUGAGAGGGUCAGGCCUGGUUUGUACUUGGAUGGGAGACCACCUAGGAAGACUGGGUGCUGUAGGUG